CACAGUUUUGGUCCUAAACUUACUGCUACUUUUAAUCAAAUUUACACAUGCAAGCAUCCACACACCAGUGAAAUACGCCCUAACACAGUAUAAAUGGAGCAGGUAUCAGGCACAACUGCCAGCCAAAAACACCAAGCUUUGCCACACCCACACGGGCCAUCAGCAGUGAUAAACAUUAAGCAAUAAGCGAACACACCAAACUAAAGCUUGACUUAGUUAUGAUUAACAGGGCCGGUAAACCUCGUGCCAGCCACCGCGGUUAUACGGUGGGCCCAAAGCAGCAGACCCUCGGCGUAAAUAGUGGCCAGAAUAAUUACCCCCACAUUAAAAACUAAACCAUACCCUAACCGUAAAACACAGGCUAAAUGAAAUCAAGCACUUUUAAUAGCAGGUAAUUUGACCCACGAAAACUAAGAAACAAACUAGGAUUAGAUACCCUACUAUGCUUAGUCGUUAAUAUGAUAUCAUAAUACUAAAAUAUCCGCCAGAAAACUACGAGCGAAAAGCUUAAAACUCAAAGGACUUGGCGGUGCUCCAUACCGACUUAGAGGAGCCUGUCCUAUAAUCGAUACCCCACGCUAAACCUCACCAA
rnacentral:rRNA from 1 species